CCAUUUUCUUUCUCACGCCAAAGAUACAUACCCCAUUUUCUUUAAUUAUUUCUACAAAGCCUUGCCCCGUUUUAAGUAUUGUAGCCCCUGAUCACUGAUACCCUGUCCAAGUGACGUAGGGCCCCGUAACGUAUGACAAGGCUCUGCCUAAAUUCGUUGGGGUUCUGUCUCGUGACGUAGGGAUAAAGUAGAAUUGGGUUGCUAUACUUAAUGUGAGUGCACUAUAUAUUUUAUUAAAUAACCCAUGAGUGAUACCCAAAAUAGAACAACCCUCCUAAAACACCCCUGACACCCUACACUUUCUAAAAUAUAUCCCAUACGUGAAAACCGAUCCCGAAAUACAAUAUAUAAAUUAAAAACAAGAAAUAGUAAGUUGAGGCGGGCCGCGUAAGACCCCGUUAAGUUAACGCGGGCCGCGAGAGAUCGAAGUUGUGGCGCAGCCCGGUGAUGACACGUGUCAUCAUCGUGGCGAGUCUAGAGGGUGAGCCGGACAAGCUAGUCCGUUGACCAGGGUUGACGCGGGCCGCGUAACCCUUGUCCUUUCUUUACGCGGGCCGCGUGGGAACCAGUUUCAGCACUAUAUAAGAAGGCCAUCGGGUUUCACUUUCCGUCGCUCACAUCUUUCUUUCUAAACGAAUUUCUGAAGUAGUAGAGAUUAUAGUUGGGUAUUAUACCCCUAAUUAGCGAAGCUCUGCCUCGUUGUAAGUAUCAUAACCCCUGGAUACAUAUUAGAUACGCUGUCCGAUUGAUCUAGGGUGAACAGCUGUCGUGGUUCUGCCCGACGUAGUCGUUGGAAUGUCGUCUCGGGGAGGAUUAUAACCAGGGAAUCACAAAGGAAAGCCCUAUAAUAGCAAUGUGAGUUUAUCCUCUUUUUGUUAAUGUUUUUGGAAUAAUUUACAAAACCUUAAAUGUUUUACAAUGUGAUUAAGCGGUGAUUGAGUCUUUGUAGUUCUUCAAUUACUGCCGGUAUGUUGGGGUUUUGUAUACAAAAUUUGUACUACUUGCGAGUAGUAAGUCGGGAUGACAAUACGUUACCAUUGGACAAUGAGUUAGCCAAUGGGUAAUAUGACCCACAAGUCAGGAUUGAUAGUACCAAAUGGAGUAAUUGUGUAGACAUAAACAUUGUAAUCGUCCUCGAUACUGCUUUAAUCGAUAAAAUGUUUCUUGAUUAAACUGGGAUUCACUCACCAGUAUUUCUUGCUGAUAAAAUGUUUUAAACACGUGUUUCAGGUAACUUAGUAUGAAGCUAAUAAAAGCCAGCUGGAGAGCACUGAAGGCUUGGAAAAGUGACAAUAAAGUUACCUAAAAUAAAAUAGAUGUUUUUAUUAAACAAAAUAGGAUUUGGUCCUAUGAAAAUGUAUGUACUGCAAAACUUGGGUUUUAUCCCAUGUGUUUAAUGUUAUAAAAUGUGGUGGUUUACU
rnacentral:lncRNA from 1 species